UACGUAGGGUCCGAGCGUUGUCCGGAAUUACUGGGCGUAAAGAGCUCGUAGGUGGUUUGUCGCGUUGUUCGUGAAAACUCACAGCUCAACUGUGGGCGUGCGGGCGAUACGGGCAGAUCGUGGAGUACUGCAGGGGAGCUGGGAAAUUCCUGGGUGUAGCGGUGGAAUGCGCAGAUAUCAGGAGGAACACCGGUGGCGAAGGCGGGUCUCUGGGCAGUAACUGACGCUGAGGAGCGAAAGCGUGGGGAGCGAACAGG
rnacentral:rRNA from 1 species